AUAAACAUAUCGAAAAGCAGAGUAGGAAUUGGAGAUCUGAAGAGAGCUUCUGGAUGGUGUAAAGAAGUGUUUGAAGGUUCUGAAGAUGGGCUUGGAAUGGUAUCAGUGAUGUUAGCUGGUGACGGAGUUGCACACGUUAUUAGUGCAAGGUUAUACGGGGGGAGACGUCCUUCAUGUAACCUGUUGAGGUUGGACUCGUGAGGGUUCAACGAACUAAAGGUGGCAACACGAGUAAUCGUCCUUUAU
rnacentral:ncRNA from 1 species